CCGGGCGGUGGCAGAUGCACCCAGCAGUGGCAGCCACCGGCAGCACACAGGUGACCCAGUCUGCGGAGCAGCCUAGUCAGGGGGCGCCCAGGGAGAUCUGGCUGGAGAGCGAGGCCAGAUCCGCCCCCAGCGCGCGUGUCUCGGCGCCAGGAGCCGUCCCGGGGCGUGUUGGCGAGCACUGAUAUAGAUAUAAGGACAUUUCUCUCCAUGGCGUCACGUGACAUAAUUACCACCAGAAUCAAUCAAGAUGAAUUGCACGUCAGCGCCCGGUGGGGAUUUUUGCUUAGUUGAUCCUGGCCCAAGCCUCUUGUGCAAUCAAUGGCUCAGGUUGGCGGCGCGGGGAGCGGCCCGGGGCUCGCCGGUGCGCACGCCGCGGAGCCAUGAAUGACUUUGACGAGUGCGGCCCGAGCGCAGCCAGCAUGUACCUGCCCGGCUGCGCCUACUAUGUGGCCCCGUCGGACUUCGCCAGCAAGCCAGCGUUUCUGUCGCAACCGUCGUCCUGCCAGAUGACUUUCCCCUACUCUUCCAACCUAGCGCCGCACGUCCAGCCGGUGCGCGAGGUGGCCUUCCGCGACUACAGCUUGGAGCGCGCCAAGUGGCCGUAUCGCGGCAGCGGCGGCGGCGCUGGGGGCGGCGGCGGCGGGGGCGGCCCCGGCGGGGGCGGCGGCGGCGGCGGCGGCGCGGGGGGCUACGCUCCCUACUACGCGGCAGCAGCGGCCGCGGCGGCGGCGGCGGCGGCAGCGGAGGAGGCGGCCAUGCAGCGCGAGCUGCUCCCGCCCGCGGGCCGCCGGCCGGACGUGCUCUUCAAGGCGCCGGAGCCCGUGUGCGCCGCGCCGGGGCCGCCCCACGGCCCUGCGGGUGCCGCCUCCAACUUCUACAGCGCCGUGGGCCGCAACGGCAUCCUGCCGCAGGGCUUCGACCAAUUCUACGAGGCCGCGCCCGGGCCCCCGUUCGCCGGGCCGCAGCCCCCGCCGCCGCCCGCGCCGCCUCAACCCGAGGGGGCUGCCGACAAGGGAGACCCCAAGACCGGGGCAGGUGGCGGUGGGGACAGUCCCUGCGCCAAGGCGACCCCCGCCUCGGAGCCGAAGGGGGCGGCAGAAGGCGGCGGGCGUGACGGCGAGGGGCCCCCGGGGGAGGCGGGGGCUGAGAAGAGCGGCACAGUGGCCCCCCAGCGGUCCCGGAAAAAGCGCUGUCCCUACACCAAGUACCAGAUCCGAGAACUGGAACGCGAGUUUUUCUUUAACGUGUACAUAAACAAAGAGAAAAGACUCCAACUCUCUCGGAUGCUCAACCUCACUGACCGGCAAGUCAAAAUCUGGUUCCAGAAUCGCAGGAUGAAGGAAAAGAAACUGAACAGAGACCGUCUGCAGUAUUUCACUGGAAAUCCCUUAUUUUGAGAGCUCCAGGAAGCACCCCUCUCCCACGACCCCCGCUCACUCACUCUCCUCUCUACCAGCCUGCCCCCGGCAGGCCCAGUGUCCUUGGGUUUAAUGACGCCUCUUCUCUGUGGAACUCCACCAUUCCUUCUCACGAUCAACUCGGGACCUCCCAGCGACCACUGCUACCUGCGGACCAGGCCCGGGACUUGGCCCAACGGAUCCUAAUAAGGGGAAAAUGGGUCUUUGCGGCAGCCCUGGAGAAGACAAGGCACCCUGGCCACCACUGUGCACACGGUGCCGAUUCGUCUCCUUGCCGUCCCUUCGGAAGGCAGAUAGAAGGCUCGGCCAUGGCCCAGCUCGCGGGCCAGGCCACCCCAGCUUACCCAUCGGGCCACGGCGUGUGCUGAGCCUCACGUCGGGGGUGUGUGUGGCUGCUCGAAGACUGAGUGCUCUUCGGCCCGGGAGUCCCAGGGGAGCGGCGACCCCGAGUUCUCGUGCAACUCGUUCCUACAGGACAAGGCGGCGGCGGCAGCAGCU